UCCCUCUUAGCUCAGUGGUAGAGCGCGUCACUAGUACCAUUCGGCUAUGACGAGGUCAGUCGUUCAAGUCGGCUAGAGGGAA